rnacentral:tRNA from 1 species
GGAACAAAAAAUUGGCAUUAGAGUAAACUAAAGUGAACUAAAAUACACUAAAUUGCUUUGGCAUUAAAACACUCGAAAUCGUUUUGUCCUUAGCCGGGCACGUGGGUUCGAAUCCCACCAUCUCCGCCA